UUUUCUAAAUAUCAGUUAAAUUGGAAUGAUUCAGAGAAAUUUAGCACGGCACCUGCACAAGGAAAAAAAACCUUUUGAUGUUUGAAUAAUGGUA
rnacentral:snRNA from 1 species